AUCCAACUCAUUACUCCACUUGCAUUUGGAAACACAGAAUCCAACUCAUUACUCCACUUGCAUUUGGAAACACAGAAUCCAACUCAUUACUCCACUUGCAUUUGGAAACACAGAAUCCUACUCAUUACUCCACUUGCAUUUGGAAACACAGAAUCCUACUCAUUACUCCACUUGCAUUUGGAAACACAGAAUCCAACUCAUUACUCCACUUGCAUUUGGAAACACAGAAUCCAACUCAUUACUCCACUUGCAUUUGGAAACACAGAAUCCAACUCAUUACUCCACUUGCAUUUGGAAACACAGAAUCCAACUCAUUACUCCACUUGCAUUUGGAAACACAGAAUCCAACUCAUUACUCCACUUGCAUUUGGAAACACAGAAUCCUACUCAUUACUCCACUUGCAUUUGGAAACACAGAAUCCUACUCAUUACUCCACUUGCAUUUGGAAACACAGAAUCCUACUCAUUACUCCACUUGCAUUUGGAAACACAGAAUCCAACUCAUUACUCCACUUGCAUUUGGAAACACAGAAUCCAACUCAUUACUCCACUUGCAUUUGGAAACACAGAAUCCAACUCAUUACUCCACUUGCAUUUGGAAACACAGAAUCCAACUCAUUACUCCACUUGCAUUUGGAAACACAGAAUCCAACUCAUUACUCCACUUGCAUUUGGAAACACAGAAUCCAACUCAUUACUCCACUUGCAUUUGGAAACACAGAAUCCUACUCAUUACUCCACUUGCAUUUGGAAACACAGAAUCCUACUCAUUACUCCACUUGCAUUUGGAAACACAGAAUCCUACUCAUUACUCCACUUGCAUUUGGAAACACAGAAUCCAACUCAUUACUCCACUUGCAUUUGGAAACACAGAAUCCAACUCAUUACUCCACUUGCAUUUGGAAACACAGAAUCCAACUCAUUACUCCACUUGCAUUUGGAAACACAGAAUCCAACUCAUUACUCCACUUGCAUUUGGAAACACAGAAUCCAACUCAUUACUCCACUUGCAUUUGGAAACACAGAAUCCUACUCAUUACUCCA
rnacentral:lncRNA from 1 species